CCAACUUUGACAGGUCGACUGGGCUCUGUUGGUGCUGGACUGGUGAAGAUAUUCGUUGCUACUGGUGUUUCGUUUGAUGCUGGAAAGAUUCUUCCCUCAAUCGAUUUACCCAUCGAGUAGUGGACCAAUAAUUUUCAAUAUCGACGUCAAUCUUCUUGAUAUCCGGCCUGAUUUGAAUACAUUCGCCUAAAAUUCACCAUAGAUAAACAGAAUCAGGCUGAAAGACAGACCCUCGGAACGGCCGUCAUUCAAUCCAAUGUUUUCCAUGACGAUGGAAACAUCUUCCAACUUUUGGUCGUCCACGUACC